CUCCCCUUCCCGCUUACGUCAGCGCCCAGCUGGGUCCGGCAUGGUCUGACUGGUCAUUGGCGCUUGCCGCUAUGUGGGGCGGCAGAUCGCCUCGGCUCUGCGUCGGGACGACCCUGGGGCGCCCCUGCCCCCCAGCCGGCGCAGGGACCUAGGUAAGUGCACCCCCUUUCUUCGCUCGUGGGACCCCUGUCCCCACGCAGCCCCCUGGAAGCAAUCUGAGUCCCUGUGGGGUGUCCCACCUCUGUGAACUUCCCAGUCUGCCCUCGAAGGAUCCCCAGUUCUGCACCCUAAAAUCCCCUCCUCUGUUCCCAGGAAGCUGCCCCUCUAC
rnacentral:lncRNA from 1 species